rnacentral:rRNA from 1 species
UCUAAACGACUCUCGGCAACGGAUAUCUCGGCUCUCGCAUCGAUGAAGAACGUAGCGAAAUGCGAUACUUGGUGUGAAUUGCAGAAUCCCGUGAACCAUCGAGUCUUUGAACGCAAGUUGCGCCCGAUGCCUUCGGGCUGAGGGCACGCCUGCCUGGGCGUCA